GCGCGGCUGCUUAGUCCUGGGUCAGGGUGUCCUCCCAGGCUCCUCUCCGUGACUGCUGCCCCUUCUCCGCCUCGACCUAGAGGAGACGUGUCUUGUCCCCAGCAGCCGCCUGGCCUGCGGUGCUUGGUCACAGCAGCCUAUGCAAACGUGACAGUCCCACGUCUGAGAACUCAGCCUGGUAGAGCAGACGAAGGAGGAGACCUCGAAGCUGCUGCUUGCGAACCAAGCGUCCCCCUUUCACAGGGGGAGGGGGGAACCAGGAGGGGAGGGGGCAGAACCAGGGAGGCUGCUGACUCCCAGGUUGCUUUAAACUGGGAGAGAAGCCCAGUUUCUACUUAAGAACUAAUUGCGUCGUGUGUUGCUCCGCAUACGAAAACGCGUGCUCUUUCCAGGAACCGCGUGAAUGGAAAUCGGGGCAGGAUGGCCGAUCUCCAUGGGCGCAGCUGCGUGAGAGAGGCGGGGCGAGGUGUGCCCGGAGUCUCUGGUCCUCUCUGCGCCCACACCACACCGUCUGGAGGCCGGUGCUGGCCCCAGAGGUGCUGUCCUCGGCCGGCCGGGUCCACCUGGGGGCUGGCAGCCAGGGCCUGCGUGUGCCUCUGGCCCUGCAGGACUGGGAGAGCAGGGCGGCCUCGUCGAGGGGGUUGAGGCUGCUCGGGGGAUGAGAGCCAAGUCUGGAAGUGGCUGCAGAAAUCCCCACAGUCACCCUGCCUGCCCAGCGUCCCUUCUCCUGGAACCCGCUUUAUCUGCCAAGAGCUCAGAGCUCAUCCCGAUGGGUGCUCCCACCUGCAGCCAGGGCCCCGGCCCUGGAGCCCCACACCGCCCAGCUUCCCUGUGGUUGCCCUCUGCCCACGCCCCCUGCGGCCUCCCCUGGCCUCUACCCUCCCACCGGGCCCACAGCGCCCCCGGCUCUGCACCUGCAGCCUCAACUCCACCUGCAGGCGCUGGAGUAGCUGUGGGCAUGAGGGCUGGGCCAAGGGCGCCCCCACCCCCCACCCAGCGCUCCCCGGGGGAGGGUCGGCAGUCCAUCACUGUGCCUUCCGCUCAGGCUAAGCCAGGGGAGCACUGGGGUCCUGAGGUGCUCCCACCCGGCCGCGCCCACACACCCUGUACCUCCCGCUCCUGCAGCAGGGCAGCAGCCACCGUGACAUUGGGAGCCGGGGUCCCUGUGAGGCCUGCUGCUCCUCCAUGCCACCCAGCCAGACUUGAGUAGUGUCCAGGGGCCCUAGGGGCCUGGCGGGCGGGGCCCACCUUUACGGCCUCGGGAACCACUGUCCUCACCACCUCUGCCACUUGCAUCCCCUCGGUCAACCUUCAGAGCCCUGGGCCCCCACCAGGUCCAGGAGAUCCCUGGAGGGAGCUGGCCCCUGGAAUAUGCCAGCAGGGAGGGGCCCCUUGGUCCGGCCCUGGCGCGGCUCCUCCCUGCCCUGAGGCAGCCCGGCUCUGAGGCCCAGUUUCCCAGGGCAGACGCCCCGCAGAAUGCACAGGGCAGCUGCAGGGGUAGGCGGUGCAGCUCUGCUGUGGCAGGGCCGGGGACCCGGAACCAUGGUGGAACCCCACAGCUCACCAGGCCCCUCUUGCAGCCCCACCUAAGCGGUGCUGGGAUCACAGGAUCACGCUGGAGGACUCGCCGACUGGGGGUCACCUUGGGAGCCAGGAGCCCCUGGAGCCGCAGCCACCUCUGCCCACGUGUGCCUGUGUCUGUCUUCCCUCUCAGCACAGCUUGGCCAGCCUCAGCCCACGGCGCAGCAGGUCUAGCCGCCGGCCCCACCACUCCCCCCUUGGCCUUGCCUUCUGUUUCCUGGGAAAGGGCUGCCCAGCCCCAGCCAUGAAGGUUAGGGAGAGGCUGCGGGAGGGGCUGUAAGGCCGGAGCUUCCGGGAGAGGGGCAGGGGCUCUCACCACCCACCCAGCCCUGCCCAGCCUACCCGCACUGCUGUGGGGCUGGGAGGGACCAAGGGAGCUGGGCAUCAAGCCUGCGCUAGAGUGAGCUGGGCUUGGGGGUGGAGGAAGUAGGGGACAUACUUUGGGGAGCCCCUCUGGCUGCGUCAGUAAGCUGGGGGCUGCAGAGCCACCCCUGGGUUUUGUCACCUCCUUCUCUGCAACCACAAAGACCCCUCCUCGGCAGGACCCUGGGACUCCCGGGCUGCCGCCUCCUCCUCCUGCCACCCGACCCUAGGGCCUGAACCCCACCCAGCCAGACUUCCCCACACCCCACCCUGGUUGGCUCUUGCUUCCAGGAACCACAUACCUUGUCCUCCCCGCACCCCACCUGCAGCCUGGAAGCCCUUCUCGAAGGCCUGCUGGGCUGGGGGCUCCCAGCAGAGGGCGCUCCGGGGGCCUGCUGGCGCCCCGUUUCCUAAUGGGAGGGGGUCAGGUGGGCACUAGUGGGGGCCCGUUUCUUCACUCCUCCAUUUUUCUGUACCCCAACAAGAGGCCUUGUUUCCUACAGACAAGCCAGGACUGCCCCACGUCCUCACCAUGCUGGGCCCUGCCCUGCCUGGGGAGAGGUGCCCUUGGUACGGUUUGCGAGGGGGUCGAUCCCAGCCUCGGGGAGAGGCUAGGGGCCUGGCCUGGCCCUCCGCUGCCCACAGUCUGUGCCCUGGGCCCCCAACCCCAGUCUGUGACCACUCAGCUCUGCACCUGCCGGGGCUUGUCUUUCUCAUGGGGUUCGUGUUGCUGUUGCCCUGGGAACUUUCCAUCAGAAAACAUUGGGUGGGGUGGGCAGACAGGCUGGGGCAGGCCAGGGGACGCCUGUGAAUGGAGCCAGGUGUCUCCCGGAGGGGGGGAAGGGGCUCUCCCACCCUGCCCUUCCUGCUCCCUCCUCAGCUCCCACCCCCAGGCCUGAAGGGGUAGUGCCCCCCCCAGGUCUGCCCUGCCCUCCGGCCCUACAGCUGUCCAAGUGCCCACCCCGGGGUCAGGGGGGGGUCCCCAACUGGCCUACCUGUGGGCUUCGGCCCCUCCUCCUCACUCUGCCCCGGGCUUCCCACGAGGUGGGAGGAGGGGCCAGGCGCCCGGCUCCCGACUCCUGGUCCAAGCAGCGUCUCUCCGUGGAGACAGGGCCUGUCAGCCUUGUGGUCGAGCCUUCACAGGGCUGGCCGAGUGCCCGAGACUGAGAAGAAGAGACCAGGGGACCCGGAGGACCUGGAGCAGAUGUGGGGACACGGCCAGCCCUUCCCCUGGGGCCCCUGGGCCGGGGUCCUGUCUGAGCCAAGCCCCUCCAGGCCAGGCGGCGGCUCCGCCGGCAGCUCCCUUCCCACCCUGAGGCCUGUCACUCGGCCAGUGAGCGACGUGGACGGUCGGUGGGGUGCCCGAGGCCCUGACCCCAGCUCCCACGCUGCCACACCGUGGAGGCUGGUGUUGGGGCCACAGCCCCCAGGUCUUCUCUGCACCUCCACAGGGUCUUGCACCCGCACUUUGCACACCCUGGGCCCUGUCCCACCCCAACCCAGGCUAAGGAUGGGCCGAGCCCUGCCUGCACCAGCCCUCAGCCCUGGGGGAUACCCAGGAGCGGCAGGGGAUGUGCGGGCACCCCCACACUGCACUCUCCAUGGCAGGGGCUGAGCCAGACCAGGGCCCCCAGCAGAGAACGUGGUCAGAGCCAGGUCUCCAUGAGCAGCCCAAGCUGGUCCCCCACGCCCCACGAUGGGGACUCUUGGCCCUUGUGGGGGCUCCACAGUGGGGGCUGGUCUAACCCGUGAACACCAUGCAGCAGGGCUGGUACCCACAAUGGGCCCAAGUAGGGCUGCAGUGGCCGGCAGAGGGCCUGGCUGGAGCCGGCGCGGACAGGCCAGUUCGGCGGGGUCACUCCCCGUGCGGUUGUGGCUGGAGCAGCACCAAGGUUUGGGGUGGGAUGAGGAAGCUAAGGUGGCCCAGGAGGGGCCGGGGGAGGAUCCUUUGCUUCGCCCAGGCUGGGGCUGAGGGCUGGGGGAUACAGGCCUUUCUCACUGGCCGCUCUGAGCCCCAAGGAUGGGGCUGGCCCGGGGACCGGGGUGGGAGAGCUGAUGCAGGCAGAGAGGCCUGUUUGCCACCUUCCAGAUUGGCAGGGAGCGUACAUGGAAAUAAGAGGAGGCUGUUUUUGGCAUGAUGCAAAGAUUCCCGGGGGAGAAGAUGGGGCAAGAGUCCUGUUGCUGGGUUUCCAGCGUAAAUGUCUGUGACAGACCAGCCUAGGGCACUGGGAGCCUGAGAACCAGGGACCCACACCCCAUCUCAGUGGGCGGCCCACCCCGGCGCUGGACAGGUGCCACAUGGCGGGGUGGGGCAGGGCCCUGCAGCCGAGGGAGGGGCUUCUGUCCAUCACCAGAAACCCACUCACGCUAGCUGUAAAAAAGGAGAUAGGAGUCCCCACUGUGGCACAACAGGAUUGGGUUGGCAGCAUCUCUGCAGCACUGGGACACAGGUUCGAUCCUCGGCCCGGCGCAGUGGGUUAAGGACCUGGCGUGGCUGCAACUGUGGCUUAGGUCAGAGAUGGCCUGGCCCAGGAACUCCAUAUGCCGUGGGGUGGCCAACAAAGAAAAAGAAAAAGGGGGGGAAAGAAAAAGGGAGAGAUGGAGUUCCCGUCGUGGCUCAGUGGUUAACGAAUCUGACUAGGAACUAUGAGGUUGCGGGUUUGAUCCCUGACCUCACUCAAUGGGUUAAGGAUCCAGCAUUGCUGUGAGCUAUGGUAUAGGUUGCUGUGGCUGUGGUGUAGGCCAGAGGCUGCAGCUCCAAUUCGACCCCUAGCCUGGGAACCUCCAUAUGACGCGGGUGGGGCCCUAGAAAAGGCAAAAAGACAAAAAGAAAAAAAAAAAGAAAAAGGGAGAGAGAGAAGAGGGAGAGGCUGCAAGGAAGUUGAGGGAGACCCGACUGAGGCAGGUCCCGGCAGCUCCAGCCAGAAAACCUCUUGCUUCUCCCCCAGGAGACCCAGGGAAGGUCUGGCCGGCCCUCGGCUCUCGGCCCUCGUGGGCGCUGAGCAAGCUGCGCCCAGGCACCUGCGGUCCUGGUGCCCGCCCCGCUCUGCCCUCUGGCGCUUGUGAAGCGCUGGCUGACAAAAGCCGCAGGCCUUGUGCUCGGUGCCUGCCAAGGACAGCAGUGUCACCGGGCUCUGGGCUGCUGGCCCCGGCCAUCCAGUGACCACGCUUCCACCCCCUGCAGUGCCGGGAGAGAACAAGGUGGGUGGCGCGAACAGAGUCUCUGGGAAGGGGCACACCUUACACCCCCGGGGCAGGGGCAGUGGUGACCCUGUCAUCCCAGAGCCGUGCCCCAAUGGGGACCACCCCCCAACUGCUGUCAUGUGGAAAAAUGCCCUUCCUGCGGACAGCA
rnacentral:lncRNA from 1 species